AGGGGCGGUUGGCUUUGUUGGGUGAGCUUGUUUGUGUCCCUGUGGGUGGACGUGGUUGGUGAUUCGCAGGAUCCUGGUAUCCGCUAACAGGUGGUAUGCAGAUCUUCGUGAAGACCCUGACCGGCAAGACCAUCACUCUGGAGGUGGAGCCCAGUGACACCAUCGAAAAUGUGAAGGCCAAGAUCCAAGAUAAAGAAGGCAUCCCUCCCGACCAGCAGAGGCUCAUCUUUGCAGGCAAGCAGCUGGAAGAUGGCCGCACUCUUUCUGACUACAACAUCCAGAAAGAGUCGACCCUGCACCUGGUCCUGCGCCUGAGGGGUGGCUGUUAAUUCUUCAGUCUUGGCAUUCGCAGUGCCCAGUGAUGGCAUUACUCUGCACUACAGCCAUUUGCCCCAACUUAAGUUUAGAAAUUACAAGUUUCAGUAAUAGCUGAACCUGUUCAAAAUGUUAAUAAAGGUUUCGUUGCAUGGUAGCAUA
rnacentral:sRNA from 1 species